AGGGGGAUAACAUCCGGAAACGGAUGCUAAAACCGCAUAGGUCUUCGAGCCGCAUGGCUUGAAGAGGAAAAGAGGCGCAAGCUUCUGCUGAUGGAUGGACCCGCGGUGCAUUAGCUAGUUGGUGAGGUAACGGCUCACCAAGGCCGUGAUGCAUAGCCGACCUGAGAGGGUGAUCGGCCACAUUGGGACUGAGACACGGCCCAA
rnacentral:rRNA from 1 species